GACGGAGGAUGCAAGUGUUAUCCGGAACCACUGGGCGUAAAGCGUCUGUAGGUGGUUUAAAAAGUCCACUGUUAAAGAUUGAAGCUUAACUUCAAAAAUGCCGUGGAAACUUUUAAACUUGAGUAUGAUAGGGGUAGAGGGAAUUUCCAGUGGAGCGGUGAAAUGCGUAGAUAUUGGAAAGACCACCAAUGGCGAAGGCACUCUACUGGGCCAUUACUGACACUGAGAGACGAAAGCUAGGGGAGCAAAUGGG
rnacentral:rRNA from 1 species